ACUCGCGGCUCCCUGCACCUCAGUAUGUCCCAGAACAGUUUAGCCAGUGACUUUACAAUGAAGGAAACUGAGGCCAAAUGGGGAAGGGACUUGCCCGGAGUCACACGGAGUGGAAGGGCUGGGAUUUGAACCUGACCUGGCAGGUGUCGGUGCUCCCGAGCCUCCGUUUGCUCGUUCUGAGUUGCGUGUGUUGCUUGGAGGCCUGUGGGAAAUCUUGCACGUUUGAGUGAGGGGUUUGUUGAUCCUUCGUUCCGGCAGCAGAGGGAGGCCUGGCUCCUUGCACUGUGAGCAUCUCAGGGUCCUCGGAGCUGAUGACAGGCUGCCGCACCAGGCCUGCUCGGACGCCUUUCUCCGGUCCCUGCCUCCUCUGAUCGUCCACAGCCUGGUACAUCCUCUUCUUUCUUCUACGUUGCCUUCAGUCUGGUGAACUCACUUUGAGCAGUGGAAUCUGGAAUCUCUGGGUUGACAUUCCAGGAGCCCUUGUAGGAGGAUGGCACCGCUUUCCCAAUAAUCACAGAAAACACCCCGAGGCUGAUUCUCAUUGGCCUGCUGUGCAAAGGAGGCAGACUCAGCCCCUCAUGAUGGCCCAGGCUGAAACUGGGGGAGGGUAGGAUACCCCAGAGUACAAGCAGGAUUCUGUGAUCAGAAGAGAUAGUGGAUAGGGAAGAAAGGUGGGGGAACUCCCUCACACUUGGGUGGGUUGCUGUGUCCUAAAAAUAUUAUUAUAAUAAGCAAGAGUCACAAACACUCAGGGAGUGCAGCCCGGGUGCCUGCCUCCUGGGCUUGAAUUAACUCUUUCCAUCACUCCUCAGAGCCACAGAGGGAGGCAUUGUCCCAUUUUACAGAUGAGGAAACUGAGGCAUGCAAAGGUGAAAUGACUUGUAACCUGAAGGAGGGUCGCUCGAUGCCUGUUUGUGGGAUGAAAGCGUGAACACGUGCCGUGUACCCUGCCAGCCUGCCAGCCCCAUGUUGCUGCUCACCUCUCCACCUCCCGCUGACCACCUGCAGACACCACCCCACCCUCCGGACCCCGUCGUCCCCACUGCGGUCCUGCCAUGCUGGGCACAUGCAGCUUCCUGCAGACCUGGGGUUGUUUGGAGGGACAGAACUUUGCCCAGACCUCCGGGAUUCCCUGUAGGAUUCUUAUCUUACCCUUGGGGGAAAAUGAAGUCUUUUUUUGUUUGUUUCUGUUGACGCAGGAGUCACAUAAUAUACAAUUAACCAUUUUAAACUGUA